AUUGAACGCUGGCGGCAGGCCUAACACAUGCAAGUCGAGCGGAGCGGCGGACGGGUGAGUAAUGCCUAGGAAUCUGCCUGGUAGUGGGGGAUAACGUCCGGAAACGGGCGCUAAUACCGCAUACUAUCAGAUGAGCCUAGGUCGGAUUAGCUAGUUGGAGGGGUAAAGGCCUACCAGGGCGACGAUCCGUAACUGGUCUGAGAGGAGGAUCAGUCAAACGGGAACUGGGCAACGGUCCAGACCCCUACGGGAGGCAGCGGGGGGGAAUAUUGGACAAGGGGCGAAAGCCUGCGCCAGACAUGCCGGUUGUGGGAAGAAGGUCUUCGGUUGGUAAAGCACUUUAAGUUGGGAGACGUUACCAACAGAAUAAGCACCGGCUAACUUCGUGCCAGCAGCGCGGUAAUUC
rnacentral:rRNA from 1 species